rnacentral:rRNA from 1 species
GAUAGAUAGGCAUGCGUUCCAUUAGGCAGUUGGCGGGGUAACGGCCCACCAAACCGACGAUGGAUAGGGGUUCUGAGAGGAAGGUCCCCCACAUUGGUACUGAGACACGGACCAAACUCCUACGGGAGGCAGCAGUGAGGAAUAUUGGUCAAUGGGCGUAAGCCUGAACCAGCCAAGUCGCGUGAGGGAUGAAGGUUCUAUGGAUCGUAAACCUCUUUUAUAAGGGAAUAAAGUGUGGGACGUGUCCUAUUUUGUAUGUACCUUAUGAAUAAGGAUCGGCUAACUCCGUGCCAGCAGCCGCGGUAAUACGGAGGAUCCGAGCGUUAUCCGGAUUUAUUGGGUUUAAAGGGUGCGUAGGCGGCCUUUUAAGUCAGCGGUGAAAGUCUGUGGCUCAACCAUAGAAUUGCCGUUGAAACUGGGGGGCUUGAGUAUGUUUGAGGCAGGCGGAAUGCGUGGUGUAGCGGUGAAAUGCUUAGAUAUCACGCAGAACCCCGAUUGCGAAGGCAGCCUGCCAAGCCAUGACUGACGCUGGUGCACGAAAGCGUGGGGAUCAAACAGGAUUAGAUACCCUGGUAGUCCACGCAGUAAACGAUGAUCACUAGCUGUUUGCGAUACAGUGUAA